GGGUUGUGAGGUUAAGCGACUAAGCGUACACGGUGGAUGCCCUGGCAGUCAGAGGCGAUGAAGGACGUGCUAAUCUGCGAAAAGCGUCGGUAAGGUGAUAUGAACCGUUACAGCCGGCGAUGUCCGAAUGGGGAAACCCAGUGCAAUUCGUUGCACUAUCGUUAACUGAAUACAUAGGUUAACGAGGCGAACCGGGGGAACUGAAACAUCUAAGUACCCCGAGGAAAAGAAAUCAACCGAGAUUCCCCCAGUAGCGGCGAGCGAACGGGGAGCAGCCCAGAGUCUGAAUCAGCUUGUGUGUUAGUGGAACGGUCUGGAAAGUCCGACGGUACAGGGUGAUAGUCCCGUACACCAAAAUGCACAGGCUGUGAACUCGAAGAGUAGGGCGGGACACGUGGUAUCCUGUCUGAAUAUGGGGGGACCAUCCUCCAAGGCUAAAUACUCCUGACUGACCGAUAGUGAACCAGUACCGUGAGGGAAAGGCGAAAAGAACCCCGGCGAGGGGAGUGAAAAAGAACCUGAAACCGUGUACGUACAAGCAGUGGGAGCACCUUCGGGUGUGACUGCGUACCUUUUGUAUAAUGGGUCAGCGACUUAUAUUCUGUAGCAAGGUUAACCGUAUAGGGGAGCCGCAGGGAAACCGAGUCUUAACUGGGCGUUAAGUUGCAGGGUAUAGACCCGAAACCCGGUGAUCUAGCCAUGGGCAGGUUGAAGGUUGGGUAACACUAACUGGAGGACCGAACCGACUAAUGUUGAAAAAUUAGCGGAUGACUUGUGGCUGGGGGUGAAAGGCCAAUCAAACCGGGAGAUAGCUGGUUCUCCCCGAAAGCUAUUUAGGUAGCGCCUCGUGAACUCAUCUUCGGGGGUAGAGCACUGUUUCGGCUAGGGGGUCAUCCCGACUUACCAACCCGAUGCAAACUACGAAUACCGAAGAAUGUUAUCACGGGAGACACACGGCGGGUGCUAACGUCCGUCGUGAAGAGGGAAACAACCCAGACCGCCAGCUAAGGUCCCAAAGUCAUGGUUAAGUGGGAAACGAUGUGGGAAGGCACAGACAGCCAGGAUGUUGGCUUAGAAGCAGCCAUCAUUUAAAGAAAGCGUAAUAGCUCACUGGUCGAGUCGGCCUGCGCGGAAGAUGUAACGGGGCUAAACCAUGCACCGAAGCUGCGGCAGCGACACUAUGUGUUGUUGGGUAGGGGAGCGUUCUGUAAGCCUGCGAAGGUGUGCUGUGAGGCAUGCUGGAGGUAUCAGAAGUGCGAAUGCUGACAUAAGUAACGAUAAAGCGGGUGAAAAGCCCGCUCGCCGGAAGACCAAGGGUUCCUGUCCAACGUUAAUCGGGGCAGGGUGAGUCGACCCCUAAGGCGAGGCCGAAAGGCGUAGUCGAUGGGAAACAGGUUAAUAUUCCUGUACUUGGUGUUACUGCGAAGGGGGGACGGAGAAGGCUAUGUUAGCCGGGCGACGGUUGUCCCGGUUUAAGCAUGUAGGCUGAUUGUCCAGGCAAAUCCGGAUAAUCAAGGCUGAGGUGUGAUGACGAGGCACUACGGUGCUGAAGUAACAAAUGCCCUGCUUCCAGGAAAAGCCUCUAAGCAUCAGGUAACAUCAAAUCGUACCCCAAACCGACACAGGUGGUCAGGUAGAGAAUACCAAGGCGCUUGAGAGAACUCGGGUGAAGGAACUAGGCAAAAUGGUGCCGUAACUUCGGGAGAAGGCACGCUGGUGUGUAGGUGAAGUCCCUGCGGAUGGAGCUGAGACCAGUCGAAGAUACCAGCUGGCUGCAACUGUUUAUUAAAAACACAGCACUGUGCAAACACGAAAGUGGACGUAUACGGUGUGACGCCUGCCCGGUGCCGGAAGGUUAAUUGAUGGGGUUAUCCGUAAGGAGAAGCUCUUGAUCGAAGCCCCGGUAAACGGCGGCCGUAACUAUAACGGUCCUAAGGUAGCGAAAUUCCUUGUCGGGUAAGUUCCGACCUGCACGAAUGGCGUAAUGAUGGCCAGGCUGUCUCCACCCGAGACUCAGUGAAAUUGAACUCGCUGUGAAGAUGCAGUGUACCCGCGGCAAGACGGAAAGACCCCGUGAACCUUUACUAUAGCUUGACACUGAACAUUGAGCCUUGAUGUGUAGGAUAGGUGGGAGGCUUUGAAGCGUGGACGCCAGUCUGCGUGGAGCCAACCUUGAAAUACCACCCUUUAAUGUUUGAUGUUCUAACGUUGGCCCCUGACCGGGGUUGCGGACAGUGUCUGGUGGGUAGUUUGACUGGGGCGGUCUCCUCCCAAAGCGUAACGGAGGAGCACGAAGGUUAGCUAAUCCUGGUCGGACAUCAGGAGGUUAGUGCAAUGGCAUAAGCUAGCUUGACUGCGAGCGUGACGGCGCGAGCAGGUGCGAAAGCAGGUCAUAGUGAUCCGGUGGUUCUGAAUGGAAGGGCCAUCGCUCAACGGAUAAAAGGUACUCCGGGGAUAACAGGCUGAUACCGCCCAAGAGUUCAUAUCGACGGCGGUGUUUGGCACCUCGAUGUCGGCUCAUCACAUCCUGGGGCUGAAGUAGGUCCCAAGGGUAUGGCUGUUCGCCAUUUAAAGUGGUACGCGAGCUGGGUUUAGAACGUCGUGAGACAGUUCGGUCCCUAUCUGCCGUGGGCGCUGGAGAAUUGAGGGGGGCUGCUCCUAGUACGAGAGGACCGGAGUGGACGCAUCACUGGUGUUCGGGUUGUCAUGCCAAUGGCACUGCCCGGUAGCUAAAUGCGGAAGAGAUAAGUGCUGAAAGCAUCUAAGCACGAAACUUGCCCCGAGAUGAGUUCUCCCUGAGACUNNNNNNNNNNNNNNNNNNNNNNNNNNNNNNNGACGUUGAUAGGCCGGGUGUGUAAGCGCAGCGAUGCGUUGAGCUAACCGGUACUAAUGAACCGUGAGGCUUAACCUUACAACGCCGAAG
rnacentral:rRNA from 1 species